CCGCUCGGUCCUCACAUGGCGGGUCGCUUGGGCGCCCACGGCCCCAGCUCACCGGCUGUCCUCCGCACCGGGCUCCCGUCCUCCCGUCUGCCCCGCGGUUAUCAAGGUCACCUCCCUGCACCCCGCCUCCCCCGGCACGGGCUGCCCCGAAGGCGGAGCGCCCGGUGGCGGGAUCUGUUCGGGGAUGCCUGCAGCCUCCAGCAGCAGCCGCCUCCAGCGGCCGUUCGGAGCCCCCCGGCAGGGCUUCCCGUCUCCGGUCGCUCCUGGCUUCAGGGUAACGGUGAGGGUGGCGCCGCGCUUGCACAGCCGUUUCGCGGAGCCUGGUUCACGGGUGAGUUUUCUUUCCAGCAGGGUGGAUGGGGAGCAUCACUGGCUGACAGGCUGGUCAGAAAAUGUGAUGUUCUGAAUCGUGGAUUUUCAGGUUACAAUACCAGAUGGGCCAAAAUCAUCCUUCCAAGAUUAAUCAGGAAAGGGAACAGUCUGGACAGCCCAGUAGCAGUUACAAUUUUCUUUGGUGCCAAUGACAGUGCGCUGAAAGACGAGAACCCCAAGCAACACAUCCCGCUGGCCGAGUACGUGGCCAACUUAGAGAGCAUGGUGGGGUACCUGCAGGAGGCCGGCGUCCCCCGCAGCCGCGUCGUCCUCAUCACGCCGCCCCCGCUCUGUGAGGCCGCCUGGGAGCAGGAGUGCCUCCUGCAAGACGUGGGUGGAGGCCCGGUGGAGAACCACAGACGGUUCAGCAGCCCGGUUCCCGAGCCACAGGCUGCGAGGACGUUCUCGGGAAGACAGGCCCGUCCGUUUCCGCCUCGGCACCGGUGGCGGGGAGGGAGCCGCCCGCCCAGCCCACGAUAGUUGCGGAGAAUGAGCCUCCGCAGCCCCUCCCGGCUCUGCCCUUCUCGGGCUGAACCCCAGUGAGCUUCACUCCAGUGCGGGGGCCUCUCCUCACAUCCAGAUUCAGGGGUCUCGGCCCGGCGUCCCCCUUCCUAGCCUCUGGGUCCCGACGGCUGCCGCCGGCCUCUCCUGCCUCUGCAUUUCCGUUCCGUGUCCCCUGCGGUGACCAGCCACCGUCCCCUCGUCCCCAUGGUCCCGUGCCGGGUAGCGCAGCACACGGGGACCAUCGUCCCCCAACCGGGUCCGGCGGUCCGUGCCUGUGCACCAAGCAUGGCCGGCCCAGGCCAGCUGCCACCCACGCGCUCUCUCAACAGGCUGCAAAUUAAAUCGUCUGAACUCGGUUGUUGGCGAAUACGCGGGCGCCUGCUUACAGGUAGCCCAAGACUGUGGGGUCGAUGUGCUUGACCUGUGGACCCUGAUGCAGAAGGACUCUCAGGACUUCUCAUCCUAUCUGUCGGAUGGAC